rnacentral:rRNA from 1 species
UACGAGGGGGGCAAGCGUUGUUCGGAAUUAUUGGGCGUAAAGGGUGCGUAGGCGGUCUGAUAAGUCAUCUGUGAAAUCUAUGGGCUCAACCCAUAGUCUGCAGGCGAAACUGUCGGGCUUGAGUAUGGGAGAGGUGAGUGGAAUUUCCGGUGUAGCGGUGAAAUGCGUAGAUAUCGGAAGGAACACCUGUGGCGAAAGCGGCUCACUGGACCGCAACUGACGCUGAGGCGCGAAAGCUAGGGGAGCAAACAGG